rnacentral:miRNA from 1 species
UAUGAAUUUCCGCUGUAGUUU